rnacentral:misc_RNA from 1 species
GUGUAGAAGGUAAACAAAGACAGCAGGAGAAAACCUACGUCGCCCCGCUUUUUCGGUUCAUUAGAAAACAAGGAUCCUUAGUCUUGAUGGGCUCAGCAUCAUGCUACGCAUCCUCAUGCCACUACACAGCGACCCUCUUGGUGGUUUUCUCUGCGAGAUAAUGAGGGGAACAAGCGUGUACUUCUUUGAAGGUUUUUCUUCCACACUAUUCCGUGGGCCCUGAUGACGCGAGACACCUCAGCGUGGUAUCUCAGGGUCCAGUACCCCCACUCUGCGUGUGGGACGCAGCCCAGCAGCCCCCAGAUUCUGCCAAUGCCGAGCCACUUCUGGUGGUGACAGGGUCAAGCGCCUACGACGUGGGGAAGCCAGAGCGGUUCAUCGCUGCUGAUGCUGGAGGUCAUGUCAUGGAUGGCGUUGCAUCGGAGAGACCUGCCACAGUGAACACCUGUGUGCCACCCAUGUGAUGGGCGAAAUGCCAACGUGACUCGGACGCGUCUCACCCGGCCCUCUGGCUGUCUACUGGUGGGGGAGCCUGAGGCUACCUCGAGGGGGACGCACGGGGUGGCGACUGGCAUGAUAGGAGCGGCUGUGCGGCGACCCGCGGAGCGGGCGGUGGGUGGAGCUUGAGGUAGAGGCCAUGCUCAUGUGAGUGAGUUUGCUUUGGACUAACGCGUGUCUACGGCUGCUUCGCACUACGCGAUGUGCCUGUGGCAGGCCGGAUAGAGUGUCGUUUAACCGAUGCUGUGCGGCAGUGAAUGUAUAUGCUGACUGAAGAAAAAACUAUCCCAUAUGCCUUGCUUCACAUUGCACAACGAUCUUCUUGUCCUCUUGCUUUUUUCUCUCUCUCUAUAUAUUUUUUUUGUACGUCGCCUUUGCGUUGGCGUCUCGCGCAUUUCACCAUACAAUUACCUUUCAUACUCUUUACCUUGAUUCGCUUUCAG